AUCUACAACCACAAAUACGGUCACUCCACAUCCAGCGGAGGAAUUGGAAGAGUUACUAAGAGUCCAGCUGAGUCAAAUGUUCUCACGUAACACAUUCCAGUCUAACGCACUAACUAGAUUUUUAACACAGUGAUAUGGGGUCCUCAUUUCAACCACUUACGUAAAAUAUUGGGCAAGUCAUAUCCUCUUUCUGGCCCCAUAAGCACAACAGUAAAACCUGUCUUACCUGCCACAUGAAGCUUUUGUGAGGAUUCAGUCACAUAAUGCAUGUGACUGCACACAACCUUCUCUGCAAACUUGUCUAUUGCUGCAAAGAUGUAGUUGAUGUUUUAAAAAUUAUACAGCUUGUGCUUAUACGAGGAGCGUGCAAAGAAAAGCGAGCAAUUACCUGGCAGGGUGGCUAGUCCAUUUUGGUGAGUCUUGCUUUGCAAGCAUCCUUCAUAGAUUAUCCAGCGUGGCUGGCUAUAUAGACUCAAUUCGUCAUGAAAUUGCAACCUCUGUGCUUCCCUUUGUGUUGUUUAGACAGAUAGAAUCAAAUCUCGUCGUGCUUCAGGCAUAGUAUUCAGCAGAAGCUGAAAUGCGCUGAAAUUACUGAUGCCUCAUCCACUACUGUGACAAUACUUAAGGAACUGUCAGCUUUUAGUUCUUGGAUGUUUAUAACUCAGCCAUAAAAACUCACUCUAGGUUAAAAGCUGAUCUUUAAGGUCUCAGCACAAAAAAGAUCUAUAGCUCGACUCUUCCUCUCACAUGGAGGGAAGCAAGUGGUUGUAAAUUUGCUUUGACGGUGGGUACAUAACAGGGAGGAAAACGAGGGCCUCACUUCCACACUCUUAAGACUUCACUCAAUCCUUCUAGUAGCUGAGCCUUUUAUGCUUAUGGGAAAGCAACUUAUUCUUUGAGGUGUAGCUCAAAUGGCUCUUUUAUUGUGAUGCCUUCCUGUCACUAGGUUCUCCUACUUAUCGAAAGCAUCUGCUGGGGAGCUAUGCAGACAGUCAAGCUGGGCACAUCGUUUUCAGUCUCUAACUCACUCCUUGGUGGCCAGUCCAAGUAUUCUGUGACAACCUCAAUUCCUAGAACUCCCUUCUGCAAGCUGUUCUUGGCAGAUGAUGGACAGUACGGAGUCGCCUGAGGCCGUGAGAAUUAGGAUAUUAGGGGUCGGGUUAGGAGAUUUAGUAGAGUUUUAAAUUGGGAACCAGAGACAAUUAAAAGCAUUAUUGAUCUGUGUUGAGGGCCCAGAAUUUGCGGUGACAGGGAUCUGAAUGGUUUAUGUGCUCUCCUUCGACAGGGCUGGGUUGUGGCCGUGCAGGAGUUGGAGACCGUGCGUGUCCCAUGACAUGUCCCAGGUGAGGGAAGUACGCCAGGACGUGAGAGGAGGAAGACGUCUGUCUCUAUGGUGUGAGUCAACUCUGAAAGACAUGCCUUGAGGAGCACCCCUCCACUUUGAGCCCCAUAGCAGACGCCACACUGAGUUCACUGGAUCACCCUGAGAAGCUCGUGGGACUUACGCUGUGACUGAGUGUGACCAUGUAUCUCUGUGCCAGUGAUGUUCAGAGCAGCUAGGAAGGAAAUUCAGACUAGAACGAACUGUCAUGAGAGAGAUAUAAAGUCGAUGUGUGAAAGAACAUGUUUAUCAGUACUUGCUCUAAUUGAAGCAGGUAUUAUUUCCUAUUUUUUUAGUCCUAUAUUCUUCUAAAAUAUAACGUGAUUUUCACACUUUUAUCUCACUUCAAAUUAUUCAGAUCUGUUUUAGAACAUAGCCCUAUAUUUUAUAUAGGCAAAAAUCUGAAAUUAUCCCCUUUUCUUGAUCAGGGAGGUCAUAUUCUUCCUAAAUACUGCCUAAAAUGUUGUCGCAUUGCUUUCUCCCCACUUCAAAGUGUCCUGACUUAUACUUUACCUGUAGAUAUAGGCCUUGUCCAUUAUCGAUUCCAGAUGGUGAUUAAACUCAAAAAAUGAGGUGUACUGUGUAGAAAACAAGCAAAAGAAAUCCAAAAAUGUGUUAGUCUUAGAUACAUCUAUGUAAAUAAAAUAGAUUUUAUUUGUUACUGAAAAUUAUUCUAUUCAUAUGUCUGUAAAAAAAAAAAAAACCUAGGGCCUGUUUAUCGGUGUGUUCCUCUGGACAGUACAUUUUAGCAUGAUGCCAGACUUCCAGAGCUUCCGCUGUGUUUUAUUUUUACCCUCCAGUUAAGUCUUGUUUGUAAUGCUUGCUGAAAAUCAAGCUUAAAAACAUUUCUGUCCUUUUUCUUUUUAAUGCAUAUAGUAGAACUCUGUUUUACAAUAAUUGAAAUCACACUCUCCCCAAAACGUAAAGUAGGAAAAGUAUAAUCUAAUACACUGACGUCACAAGAGCUGUUAAAUCUUGUUGUUCAAUACUAACAUUGUUUUUAAGCAAGUUGCAUUAAAUGUAUAUUUACUCCCACAAAAUUUAAAGUCCAGUAAGUGUUCGCAUUUGUUAGCUGUUAUGACGUUGUUCAAAGAUACGAUGAGUUCAUAUGCAUCUAAUCCAAACAAGGCUGCCAUGUCCCUCGAGCUCUUUCUGCCUCUGUCUCCUUCUGUCUCAGCUCUCGGCCCCUGCAUGCACUUCCUCUUCUGCUGCUGCAGGCGGUUAACCCAGGGGUAGGAGCCGAACGCCAGUCCCACCUCCACCGUUUGCUAACUGAGCCAUCUUGGAAAACUCAAUAUCUCUGUACCUCCGUGUCCUCAUCUGUAAAUGAGG